rnacentral:lncRNA from 1 species
AUCCAAUGUGAGCAUAGUAGACAAUGCUUUGGAAUCUGAUAGUGGAGUAUUUUGCUGCUGUGAGUGGAAGGGUAUCCGAUGCUGAUUUGCUGACAUAGAUUUGCCUAGCUGGUUACUGAAGAGGCAUUUGGAUGGGCCUACCUAUUUGAUUACUAUUCUUCUUCUUCAAGGAAGAAGGUUGGAUCCGAUGAAGAGCUGGUUUGUUCUUCUCCUUCUUUUUCUUCUUCUUCUAACUUUGCUAAGGAUUGUAGUAAUAAUUUUUUAUAUUCUACUUUUGAUUUGGCUGCUGCAAGCUGGGCACUUGUUUUGGACUUCUGUUGGAGAAAUUGUGCUGUCAUUGGAUCAAUGGCUGGUUGAAUUGGUAAAGAAUAUUUUGACAACCAUUCUAACACUCUUAAUUUUGUGACUCUUUCUGGUUUGAAGCUUUGCUACCAUUUGACUUUAAAUUUUCUUGAUAGAAUGCUUGGCAUAGGAGGAUUUUGGACAAAAGUAUAUUCUGAGCUAACAAUCUAGGAAAGUAUGAAUUUUGAAUAAAAAUUUAGCAGGCUUGGAUAUGUUUGUUCUCUGAAAGAAAGGAUAGCUUUUUCCUUAAAAGGAUUGUAGCCUUCUUGGACUAAUUGAGGGAGAAUUUCAACAAGAGGGCCGAAAUGCUCCCACUAGUUAAAAAAUCAAUAGAAAAAUUGAUAUUUGACUCCUGAUUUAAAAUAAAAAAAUCAAGAAUGUUUGAAUGAAUGACUCUAAAAGUAGAAGGCAUUGUACCAAGCAGUUUGAUAAUCUCAAUAAUUAAAAUAUUGGAGGAAAAAUUCUUGAGAAAAUUUUUUGAAAUUGGAAGGAUGAUCUCCCCAAGAAGUGAGAGUCCAUACUCACAGGAUUUGAACUAAUGUGUGACUAAUUUCAUUUGGAUUAUUUUUCUCUACUAUGCUUAAUCACCGCAGAGUCUGUAUCGAUUAAUAUACAUUCAUAAUAUUUUUGAGUUUUUUGAACAUCUCUUGGUUGAAAAUACCAAGAGAAUGGAAAUAGUUUUUCCACAACUUCUUUGGGGUUUUUUUCCAAUAUUCAUCCUCAAUUAUCAUUAUAGAUUAAGGAGAUUUUUUAUCAAAAUAAAAUAUAGGUGAUUUUGAAAAAAAGUUUUUUGAAGAGGAGUUGGGUCAGAAAUCCCAACGUUCAUUUUUGGUGCUAAGAUUAAAAGUUGCAGAUUUUUUGAAGAAACUUCUGCAAUAGCUUUUUGAAAGACAUCUAUUUGUAAAAUGCUUGGAUUGGCCUUGGUUAAAUUGGCUAAUUUUUUUUGACGACAUUUGAGUGGGCAUUUAGAUAAAUUUUUCUAAUUCUUUUGCUUGUUAUUCUUCUUGAAGCACUGCCUCAUACCAUAUUUUUGGUUUUGAUGGUUUAGGUGUAGAGAUUUGACUAGAACUUGGGCUAGGUUUAGAUGAUUGAGCAUAGGAUUCUUUGAUUUAUUUUUAGGCAGGGGAACUAGUUCUCAUAGGUGGAGCCAUUUGUUGAUCCAUGUAGAAAUUCCUUGGGUAAGAAAUCAGGC